UACGUAGGUGGCAAGCGUUAUCCGGAAUUAUUGGGCGUAAAGCGCGCGCAGGCGGUUUCUUAAGUCUGAUGUGAAAGCCCACGGCCCAACCGUGGGGGGUCACUGGAAACUGGGAAACUCGAGUGCAGAAGAGGAGAGUGGAAUUCCACGUGUAGCGGUGAAAUGCGUAGAGAUGUGGAGGAACACCAGUGGCGAAGGCGACUCUCUGGUCUGUAACUGACGCUGAGGCGCGAAAGCGUGGGGAGCAAACAGG
rnacentral:misc_RNA from 1 species